rnacentral:rRNA from 1 species
GAUGAACGCUGGCGGCGUGCCUAAUACAUGCAAGUCAAGCGAACGGACGAGAAGCUUGCUUCUCUGAUGUUAGCGGCGGACGGGUGAGUAACACGUGGAUAACCUACCUAUAAGACUGGGAUAACUUCGGGAAACCGGAGCUAAUACCGGAUAAUAUUUUGAACCGCAUGGUUCAAAAGUGAAAGACGGUCUUGCUGUCACUUAUAGAUGGAUCCGCGCUGCAUUAGCUAGUUGGUAAGGUAACGGCUUACCAAGGCAACGAUGCAUAGCCGACCUGAGAGGGUGAUCGGCCACACUGGAACUGAGACACAGUCCAGACUCCUACGGGAGGCAGCAGUAGGGAAUCUUCCGCAAUGGGCGAAAGCCUGACGGAGCAACGCCGCGUGAGUGAUGAAGGUCUUCGGAUCGUAAAACUCUGUUAUUAGGGAAGAACAUAUGUGUAAGUAACUGUGCACAUCUUGACGGUACCUAAUCAGAAAGCCACGGCUAACUACGUG